rnacentral:rRNA from 1 species
UACGUAGGGGGCAAGCGUUAUCCGGAUUUACUGGGUGUAAAGGGAGCGUAGACGGUAUGGUAAGUCAGAUGUGAAAGCCCCGGGGCUCAACCCCGGGACUGCAUUUGAAACUAUCAAACUGGAGUGCAGGAGAGGUAAGUGGAAUUCCUAGUGUAGCGGUGAAAUGCGUAGAUAUUAGGAGGAACACCAGUGGCGAAGGCGACCACCUGGACUGAUACUGACACUGAGGUGCGAAAGCGUGGGGAGCAAACAGGAUUAGAUACCCGCGUAGUCCCUGA